UACGGAGGAUGCGAGCGUUAUCCGGAUUUAUUGGGUUUAAAGGGUGCGUAGGCGGGAUGCCAAGUCAGCGGUAAAAAUGCGGUGCUCAACGCCGUCGAGCCGUUGAAACUGGCGUUCUUGAGUGGGCGAGAAGUAUGCGGAAUGCGUGGUGUAGCGGUGAAAUGCAUAGAUAUCACGCAGAACUCCGAUUGCGAAGGCAGCAUACCGGCGCCCUACUGACGCUGAGGCACGAAAGCGUGGGAAUCGAACAGG
rnacentral:rRNA from 1 species